CAGCGCUGACCAAAAGCAACUUGGGGGAAUGUUCAAGAAAACGCCAACUCGGUUUUAUACCUGAUCAGUUGAGCAGAGAAACGCGUCGUGAGCGCAACGUUGAUAUUCGUUUUGGCGUCGUUCACAGCAAACACGCGCGAUUUUUCACGAGGCGUACGAUACGCGUUCCCAUUACCGCUCCCGCCCCCGCCCCUCGCUCAUUUCCAAUUGGAUUUGAUAGCCAUACGUUACGAUUGGCU